AGAAUCCAAGCGUGACCAGCUCUUAGGAGAAAAUGAUUGGGACUAAUUCAUACUAGCAUGGAAAUGACUGAUGGCUUCAAUCUCCCUGCAUAUAUUUGCAUCUCCCCCAUCUCAAUAAUAAGGAUGCAGCUUUUGGCAACCGGAGGCUUCAUGGGGUACCCAGGCAGUCUAAUGGGAAGAUGCCUUUUUACAUGAUGCAUAACUGUGAUUUGUCCCACGCUGUGCAGUAUUUUACAAAUGAGUGUUUAAGCUCUGACUACCGAUUUCUUCAUCAUUAGGAGCUGUUGUGAUGAGGCUACUCCACCUCUGAAAGGAGAAGAAAAAAAUAUAAAUCAAGAUCGUGCUGAAGAUGUUUUAGUCUUUGACCCGUGGCUGUUGAAGCUUGGGCAUUGUCUCAGAGUCAUCCUGAAUUUCUGUUGCUGUCGAGGACUCUCAGUGC